rnacentral:rRNA from 1 species
UACGUAUGGGGCGAGCGUUGUUCGGAAUUAUUGGGUGUAAAGGGCGUCUAGGCGGGAGAUUAAGUUAGAUGUGAAAGGCGUGGGCUUAACCCACGAAUUGCAUCUAAAACUGGUUUUCUUGAGUUCGGGAGAGGAGAGCGGAAUUCUUGGUGUAGCGGUGAAAUGCGUAGAUAUCAAGAAGAACACCAGUGGCGAAGGCGGCUCUCUGGCCUAGAACUGACGCUGAAGCGCGAAAGCGUGGGUAGCGAACGGGAUUAGAUACCCGUGUAGUCCCUGAG